UAGCGUAUAUUUAAGUUGUUGCAGUUAAAAAGCUCGUGGUUGGAUUUCGGUUAAGAGCGACCGGUCCGCCGUUUGGUGUGCACUGGUUGGUUUUAACUUCCUGUAGAGGACGUGCUCUGGGUUUAACGGUCUGGACUCGGAGUCUACGUGGUUACUUUGAAAAAAUUAGAGUGUUCAAAGCGGGCUUACGCUUGAAUAUUUCAGCAUGGAAUAACACUAUAGGACUCCUGUCCUAUUUCGUUGGUCUCGGGACGGGAGUAAUGAUUAAGAGGAACAGUUGGGGGCAUUCGUAUUUCAUUGUCAGAGGUGAAAUUCUUGGAUUUAUGAAAGACGAACUUCUGCGAAAGCAUUUGCCAAGGAUGUUUUCAUUAAUCAAGAACGAAAGUUGGGGGCUCGAAGAUGAUUAGAUACCAUCCUAGUCUCAACCAUAAACGAUGCCGACUAGGGAUUGGCGGAUGUUAAUUGAUGACUCCGCCAGCACCUUAUGAGAAAUCAAAGUUUUUGGGUUCCGGGGGGAGUAUGGUCGCAAGGCUGAAACUUAAAGGAAUUG
rnacentral:rRNA from 1 species